UUACGGCCACAUCGCGUUGAAACACCGAAUUUCGUACGAUCACCAAAGAUAAGCAACAUCGAGCCUGGUCAGUACCUAGAUAGGUGACUGCGGGGGAAUACCAGGUGCCGUAAG